CAUGCAAGUCGAACGAACCUUCGGGUUAGUGGCGGACGGGUGAGUAACGCGUGAGAAUCUGCCCUCAGGAGGGGGAUAACGGUUGGAAACGACCGCUAAUACCCCAUAUGCCUACUGGUGAAAUGAAUUUCGCCUGAGGAUGAGCUCGCGUCUGAUUAGCUAGUUGGUGAGGUAAUGGCUCACCAAGGCUUCGAUCAGUAGCUGGUCUGAGAGGAUGAUCAGCCACACUGGGACUGAGACACGGCCCAGACUCCUACGGGAGGCAGCAGUGGGGAAUUUUCCGCAAUGGGCGAAAGCCUGACGGAGCAACGCCGCGUGAGGGACGAAGGCCUCUGGGCUGUAAACCUCUUUUCUCAAGGAAGAAGAUAUGACGGUACUGAGGAAUAAGCCACGGCUAAUUCCG
rnacentral:rRNA from 1 species